rnacentral:rRNA from 1 species
AUUGAACGCUGGCGGCAGGCCUAACACAUGCAAGUCGAACGGAGUGGCGGACGGGUGAGUAAUGUCUGGGAAACUGCCUGAUGGAGGGGGAUAACUACUGGAAACGGGCGCUAAUACCGCAUACUAUCAGAUGAGCCUAGGUCGGAUUAGCUAGUUGGUGGGGUAAAGGCCUACCACGUCGACGAUCCGUAACUGGUCUGCGCGGAUGAACAUCCACAUUGGGACUGAGAAACGGCCCAGACUCCUACGGGAGGCAGCAGUGGGGAAUAUUGGACAAUGGGCGAAAGCCUGAUCCAGCCAGGCCGCGUGUGUGAAGAAGGUCUUCGGAUUGUAAAGCACUUUAAGUUGGGAGGCGUUACCAACAGAAUAAGCACCGGCUAACUUCGUGCCAGCAGCCGCGGUAAUUC